GGAAAGGUGGAGGGGCGGGACGUAGAGGACGCGAUGGGCUACUCAGACGACAAACAGGAGCUGUGUGAAGAUUUAUACGCUGUUGAAGACAUUUAUGUACAUUUAUCGGUGGAUGCAGAGUUUUACCGAGAGUAACUGACAUAACAGCAACCUGCAGAAGACUGAGGACCAGGAAACACUCGUUGGACUCUAUGGAGGAGUUGAUGUCUCCCGCCAGCCUGUAACCUCACUCAUCAUUCCCCUCAUCCUUCAUCCAUGUUUCAACUCAAGGAUUUUGUACAACGGUGGCUCCGGUGCUGGGUGAUCGGUCCACGUAGUCCCGGACCGUCCUGACAAACUGGAUCAGGGACUGAGUGCUCUCUGGGACUCCGUGAUCGGGCCACACGGUGUAGUGGAAGUGACGCAGCACACGAGGGACGGACUCUGACAGCAUCUGAAUGACCAGGUCACCGUAGUACAGCGGCUCUCUGUCUGCAGGCCAGUACUGAUCACACUUCACCUGCAAA